rnacentral:rRNA from 1 species
GCAUUAAGUUAUCCGCCUGGGGAGUACGGUCGCAAGAUUAAAACUCAAAGGAAUUGACGGGGGCCUGCACAAGCGGUGGAGCAUGUGGUUUAAUUNGAAGCAACGCGCAGAACCUUACCAGCCUUUGACAUCCUAGGACGGUUUCUGGAGACAGACUCCUUCCCUUCGGGGACCUAGUGACAGGUGCUGCAUGGCUGUCGUCAGCUCGUGUCGUGAGAUGUUGGGUUAAGUCCCGCAACGAGCGCAACCCUCGUCCUUAGUUGCCAUCAUUUAGUUGGGCACUUUAAGGAAACUGCCGGUGAUAAGCCGGAGGAAGGUGGGGAUGACGUCAAGUCCUCAUGGCCCUUACAGGCUGGGCUACACACGUNCUACAAUGGCAUCUACAGUGAGCAGCGAUCCCGCGAGGGUUAGCUAAUCUCCAAAAGAUGUCUCAGUUCGGAUUGUUCUCUGCAACUCGAGACCAUGAAGGCGGAAUCGCUAGUAAUCGCGGAUCAGCAUGCCGCGGUGAAUANGUUCCCAGGCCUUGUACACACCGCCCGUCACACCAUGGGAGUUGGAUUCACCCGAAGGCGGUGCGCUAACCUUUAGGA